UGCCGUCCGCGUCCCCCGGUGGCGCGAUGUCCGUUGGCGCCCCCCCUGCGACCCCCGUGGUCCCGGCCCACCUGCUGUUUGACAUGGACGGACUCCUGCUCGAUACCGAGCGACUCUACACAGAGGUGUUCCAGGAAAUCUGUGAUCGCUUCGGAAAGAAAUAUACCUGGGAAGUUAAAUCCCUCGUCAUGGGUAAAAAAGCACUGGACGCCGCAGAGAUUAUAAUCGAUGCCUUAGAGCUCCCGAUGACCAAAGAAGAACUGCUAAAGGAAAGUAAACUGAAGCAAGAGAAAAUAUUUCCUACUGCUGCCCUGAUGCCAGGCGUGGAGAAAUUGAUCCGCCAUCUGCACAGGCAUCAGAUCCCCAUGGCCGUGGCCACCAGCUCAGCCCGGGAGACCUUCGAAAUGAAGACGAGCAGGCACAAGGAGUUCUUUAGCUUGUUCCACCACAUCGUGUUGGGAGACGAUCCAGAAGUGAAGAAUGGCAAACCUCAUCCGGAUGUGUUCCAGGUGUGUGCGAGGAGAUUCAACCCCCCUCCGCUUCCAGAAAAGAUGAUGACUUCCUUAACUCCGCACCCGUUCUGUAAGUGACGUGAUUAAAGCCACAUCCGGAAUUUUCCCCCACCUGCCAUAGCAGUGAAUUUAUGUUUUAGGAAAAGAAAUAAAUGUGUUCUGCUCUGAUGAGAAAUAGCCCAUGCAUAAUCCCAUACGGUUUAUCUUCUCUUUGAAAUGAAGACGGCCAUGCCAGCUCGUGAUCGCUGUGGAUGUCUGGUUUUUGAAGAUGCUCCGUAUGGUGUGGAGGCGGCGCUGGCGGCUGGAAUGCAGGUGGUUAUGAUUCCGGAUGAAAAUCUAAAUCAAGACCUCACAAGAAAGGCGACGGUGGUGCUGAAAUCGAUGCUAGACUUCAAGCCGGAAUUGUUUGGGCUGCCAG